CACUCGGAGAUUCAGGGGAGGGGAGCUGGGGGGGCGGAGUCACCAGGGCGCGCUCCCGCGGCCGCGCUCCUCCCCGUCUAGGCGCGCGGGCGCGUCCCCCAGCGGGCGCCGGGCCAGCGAAGAGCACGCGAGGCGCGGGAGGAGGGAAACCGGCCGUGGAGGCCACAAGUCUCCGCCCGCCGGCGCCCCGCCAGAGGGUGCGCGCGCAGCCUGCCAGAUCAGCGGCGGAGGGUCGGGCCGUACCACUCCGCGGAGGAGGGGGCAUCAACGCAGGCUCCGCUCCCUGCCCGGCUUCCCGCUUUCUCUGAGGGAAAGUCAGCCCGGGAAAGCUUAUUCAAACCAAGGAUCUGUGCUGUUAUCUUGACAAGGUCUUUAGCUGAGUGAAUCCAGAGGUCUAGACCCUUCUAUCACCAGGAGCUAACCACCUUGUAUCCCAGGACUAUGGGAGGGUGACCUGUCAUCACCUGAAAUGAAGUACGGUUGCCAGGACCGCCCAGCCGAGAAAAUGUGAACAAGAUGCCUCGUGCUGCUGAUGAACUCCUAACUCCCACAGCCUCAAGAGAAGGCGGGAGGGAAGCAGCUGGCCAGCACCCCGGAUUUGUUGUCAGCCAGGCUUCAUCCUGUGCUUGAGAAGUCCCUGGCUGACAACAAAACAUCCAGACUCCUAUGACUAUUAAGCUCACCCCUUCUUCAAGGGUCAGAGUGGACCCAGAAAAGCACUGGGUUCUAAACUGGGCUUGAGCCCCAGCACCACAUGGGAGUGCCAUGGAACAUGAAAGCUUCAGUGCUAUGGUGUUUCUAACUCUGUCUCUCUGAACGAAAAAAAAAGGGGGACCAGAAUUAGUGAAAUUACACCUUUGAGACUCUAGCUUCAUGUGCAUAAUGAUGGAAUGAUAAUCUGUACUCACUCUCACAGACACAAAAAUUAAAAAAAAAGAUUAAAACACAC